rnacentral:rRNA from 1 species
GACACGCCGCGUGAGUGAGGAAGGCCUUCGGGUCGUAAUGCUCUGUUGCCCUAGACGAACGCCUGGUGGAGUAACUGCCGUCAGGGUGACGGUAUAGGAGAAGAAAGCCCCGGCUAACUACGUGCCAGCAGCCGCGGUAAUACGUAGGAGGCAAGCGUUGUCCGGAAUCACUGGGCGUAAAGCGCGUGUAGGUGGUGCGACAAGUCUGCUGUGAAAGCGCCUGGCUUAACCGGGCGAGGUCGGCGGAAACUGACGUACNGGAGGCCGGUAGAGGGGGGUGGAAUUCCCGGUGUAGUGGUGAAAUGCGCAGAGAUCGGGAGGAACACCAGUGGCGAAGGCGGCCCCCUGGGCCGGGCCUGACACUGAGACGCGAAGGCGUGGGGAGCGAACGGGAUUAGAUACCCCGGUAGUCCACGCAGUAAACGAUGCAUACUAGGUGUGGGGGGUAUCGAGCCCCUCCGUGCCGCAGUCAACACAAUAAGUAUGCCGCCUGGGGAGUACG